GGAUCCAGACUUUGAUCAUGGCUCAGGAUGAACGCUAGCUACAGGCUUAACACAUGCAAGUCGAGGGGCAGCGGGAUUGAAGCUUGCUUCAAUUGCCGGCGACCGGCGCACGGGUGAGUAACGCGUAUCCAACCUUCCGUACACUCAGGGAUAGCCUUUCGAAAGAAAGAUUAAUACCUGAUAGUAUCUUAAGCACACAUGUAAUUAAGAUUAAAGAUUUAUCGGUGUACGAUGGGGAUGCGUUCCAUUAGGUAGUAGGCGGGGUAACGGCCCACCUAGCCAACGAUGGAUAGGGGUUCUGAGAGGAAGGUCCCCCACAUUGGAACUGAGACACGGUCCAAACUCCUACGGGAGGCAGCAGUGAGGAAUAUUGGUCAAUGGACGAGAGUCUGAACCAGCCAAGUAGCGUGAAGGAUGAAGGUCCUACGGAUUGUAAACUUCUUUUAUAAGGGAAUAAACCCUCCCACGUGUGGGAGCUUGUAUGUACCUUAUGAAUAAGCAUCGGCUAACUCCGUGCCAGCAGCCGCGGUAAUACGGAGGAUGCGAGCGUUAUCCGGAUUUAUUGGGUUUAAAGGGAGCGCAGACGGGUCGUUAAGUCAGCUGUGA
rnacentral:rRNA from 1 species